UACAGAGGUCUCAAGCGUUGUUCGGAUUCAUUGGGCGUAAAGGGUGCGUAGGUGGCGCCGUAAGUCAGGUGUGAAAUUUCGGAGCUUAACUCCGAAACUGCAUUUGAUACUGCGGUGCUUGAGGACUGGAGAGGAGACUGGAAUUCACGGUGUAGCAGUGAAAUGCGUAGAUAUCGUAAGGAAGACCAGUGGCGAAGGCGAGUCUCUGGACAGCAACUGACGCUGAGGCACGAAGGCCAGGGGAGCAAACGGG
rnacentral:rRNA from 1 species